GAAUAAAAAAAGAGUUGAGAGAGAAAAUGAGGAGGAAAUAGUUGAGGAAAAUAUUGAUGGUGAAGUGGGGGAGUGGAGUGAAAAGGAAGAAGUUGAAAAGAACAAAAAGAAUGGUGAAGUUGAAAAGAAAAAAAGUGUGGAGAUUGAGAAAAAUACAAGUGAUGAAGUAGUGGUGGAGCCAGUGAAAAAACCUAGAUGGAGGAGUUCGAGAAUUGCAAAAGGAAAGGAGGUAGUGAGCGCUACUCCAAUCCAAAACCUUCCUUAUCCUCAUGCUCCUUCCAAAAGGGAGAAUGAACGGCAUUACGCCCGGUUCAUGGGUAUUUUU
rnacentral:lncRNA from 1 species